rnacentral:rRNA from 1 species
CGGGUGAGUAACACGUAUGGAACCUGCCCUAUGCAGGGGGAUAAGCGGAAGAAAUUCCGUCUAAUACCGCAUAACACCAUCUGGAGACAUCUCCAGGUGGUCAAAGGAGGCGACUCCGGCAUAGGAUGGCCAUGCGUCGCAUUAGCUAGUCGGCGGGGUAACGGCCCACCGAGGCGACGAUGCGUAGGGGUUCUGAGAGGAAGGUCCCCCACACUGGUACUGAGACACGGACCAGACUCCUACGGGAGGCAGCAG